GGCCUACCAUGGUGGUAACGGGUAACGGGGUGUUAGGGCACGACACCGGAGAGGGAGCCUGAGAAACGGCUACCACAUCCAAGGAUGGCAGCAGGCGCGCAAAUUACCCAAUCCCGACACGGGGAGGUAGUGACAAUAAAUAACAAUACGGGGUUCUUACGGAUCUCGUAAUUGGAAUGAGUACAAUUUAAAUCUCUUAACGAGGAACAAUUGGAGGGCAAGUCUGGUGCCAGCAGCCGCGGUAAUUCCAGCUCCAAUAGCGUAUAUUAAAGUUGUUGCAGUUAAAAAGCUCGUAGUUGAAUUUCGGGAUCAAUAUGUCGGUCGUGCCUCGGUACGUACUGGCAUCAUUGGUUUCUCCCUUCUGAUGAACCAUGAUGCCAUUAAUUUGGUGUCGUGGGGAAUCAGGACUGUUACUUUGAAAAAAUUAGAGUGUUUAAAGCAGGCUCACGCUUGAAUACAUUAGCAUGGAAUAAUGAAAUAGGACGUUUGAUUCUAUUUUGUUGGUUUCUAGGAUCGACGUAAUGAUUAAUAGGGAUAGUUGGGGGCAUUAGUAUUCAAUUGUCAGAGGUGAAAUUCUUGGAUUUAUUGAAGACUAACUACUGCGAAAGCAUUUGCCAAGGAUGUUUUCAUUAAUCAAGAACGAAAGUUAGGGGAUCGAAGACGAUCAGAUACCGUCGUAGUCUUAACCAUAAACUAUGCCGACUAGGGAUCGGAUGAUGUUAAUUUUUUAAUGACUCAUUCGGCGCCUUACG
rnacentral:rRNA from 1 species